rnacentral:rRNA from 1 species
UACGGAGGGUGCAAGCGUUAUCCGGAUUCACUGGGUUUAAAGGGUGCGUAGGUGGGAAUGUAAGUCAGUGGUGAAAUCUCUGAGCUUAACUCAGAAACUGCCAUUGAUACUAUGUUUCUUGAAUUUUCUGGAGGUCAGCGGAAUAUGUCAUGUAGCGGUGAAAUGCUUAGAUAUGAACAUAGAACACCAAUUGCGAAGGCAGCUGACUACAGGGAUGAUUGACACUGAGGCACGAAAGCGUGGGGAUCAAACAGG